rnacentral:lncRNA from 1 species
CCAGAAAGCCAUGCUUCAUUUAGUCACAAAGGACUUUUUACUAACUUUUGAACCCCUUGUCUGAUUUGUGCCAUUUUUGAAUAUGUUGUUCCCCUGAAUGGAUUGAUUGUGUAUAUGUAAUUUUAUGUGAAUGUGAUGUAUGGUUUUGGAGUUAUGAAAGUUGGGUAGAAAGUAUGUUUUAACUGUAUGUAUAAUUGAGUUUCCUCUCAGGAUAAGGGGAGGGAAUAUGUGGGGUGUAACUGUGAUG